rnacentral:lncRNA from 1 species
GUAGAAUCCAAUUGGACUUGGAUUAUGUUAAGCCCAAUGAUUUGUGAAAUUAAGCUCAAUAUAGGCCCAAUAAGAAUUAGGGUUAAGGCCCAAACCAAGAAAAGAAAUAGCGGAUUGAACCGAUGGGUAAAUGGAUGGGUAAUAACCAUUGGGGAAACCCAUGGGGCAUGUGGGGCGACCACUUGGUCACCAAGUAAACUUGGUGGCUAAGCCAUGAA